rnacentral:rRNA from 1 species
UACGUAGGGGGCAAGCGUUGUCCGGAAUUACUGGGCGUAAAGAGUGCGUAGGCGGUUUAGUAAGUUGGAAGUGAAAGCCCGAGGCUUAACCUCGGAAUUGCUUUCAAAACUACUAAUCUAGAGUGUAGUAGGGGAUGAUGGAAUUCCUAGUGUAGAGGUGAAAUUCUUAGAUAUUAGGAGGAACACCGGUGGCGAAGGCGGUCAUCUGGGCUACAACUGACGCUGAUGCACGAAAGCGUGGGGAGCAAACAGG